ACGCUGGCGGCAUGCCUAACACAUGCAAGUCGAACGGAGUUUGAGGAGCUUGCUCCUUGAACUUAGUGGCGGACGGGUGAGUAACGCGUGAGUAACCUGCCUUUCAGUGGGGAAUAAUAUUCUGAAAAGAGUACUAAUACCGCAUAACAUACAGAAGUCGCAUGGCUUUUGUAUCAAAGAUUUAUCGCUGAGAGAUGGACUCGCGUCCGAUUAGCCGGUUGCGGGGUAACGGCCCACCAAAGCAACGAUCGGUAGCCGGACUGAGAGGUUGAACGGCCACAUUGGGACUGAGACACGGCCCAGACUCCUACGGGAGGCAGCAGUGGGGAUAUUGUGCAAUGGGGAAACCCUGACACAGCAAUGCCGCGUGAAGGAUGAAGGUCUUCGGAUUGUAAACUUCUUUUGUCAAGGAAGAUAAUGACGGUACUUGACGAAUAAGCUCCGGCUAACUAUGUGCC
rnacentral:rRNA from 1 species